ACCGCGCUGGAGGAGAAAGAACACGACACAUGUCUCUCCAGGUUCUCACAGGGGGUUUCUGGGAUAAUUGGAGCUCAAAAUGACUCAAUUUCCAGCAGCAAUCCCAACACAUGGCACCAAUUUGUAGCCCUGAAAACGUUAAAGGUCAGCGUGAGCCCCCGUCCAUCACACACACCGACCGUACAAUCACAUCAUCCCGGGGCCUCACCUCCGCUGGCGUCCGUCAGUUCGGUCCUGCGGAGGAAGCCCAGGUAUCCGGUCCUGGCCCAGACGGUCUGCGUGUCUCCGAAACUGAGUCUGGAGUUGAAGUGGUCCGACUGCAACGCCUCGUCUCCGUAGACGGUGAAGUAACCGCUGGCGUUGUGGCCGCUGUGCACCCAGAUCUGCAAGCAAGAGACCGCAGCUGUUACACCACAUGAUAGCGGCUCUUUCUAGUCUUCUGACCCCCCCAGAGCUUUCCACUACGUGUACACCCCGACUGGCACAGCAUCAGGAGCAAUCUAGGGUUCAGCAUCUUGCUCAAGGACACUUCGACAUGCAGCGGGAGGAGCCGGGGAUCGAACCGCCAACCUUCUGAGUACCUCCUGAGCCACAGCCCCAUGGAGCUCCUGUUUACUGCUGCAGUGCAGAUAUUGACUGACUGCUGCUGCAGAUUAUUGUCAUUAUUAAUUAAUUAAUGUCAAACAAAAAGUGUUUAGUUUAGUUUUUAAUGAUACAAGAUUAUUGUGUUUAAUUAUAUUAACAAACUACUUAAAAUCAUGAAUGAAUGACUCAGAUUAUUGUGGAAUUUUCUGUCAAGUUGCUCAAUAAAGCGCCUUCAUUUGAUGAUUGUAA